AUGUUAGUUAGAUCUCAACAACAAAAAAUGAGAAUGCUAAAUUUCAGUUUGAGGUGAGUAAAAAUAAAAAAGUACUUUUCUUCUCAUCCAAAUUCAUGGAUCUCUUGAAAUCUUAACCCGAGGUUAAGAAAAUCUGUGGUAGAGAGACAUCCCUGGGGGAGAUCCUGGGAACCUGACAGGUGGAAGCUACAGGAAAAGGUCGUUGGAUGAACUCAAGCCAUGGUGAGAGUCACUGAACAAGAUUUGCAAACCCUCUGUGUUCGCGCAGUCCGUGCUCUGCUGUCCCUCACUGCCCAUCCCCACUUCUCAGUCUUGACCUCCCAGUGCUCCCGAGAACGUCACCCUCUGGGUCACAUGGUCCCUUCUGGGAACCCCUCGCUGCAGAGCUGGUGAGGGGUUGCUCUGUCCGGAGGGCAACUGUCGGUCCCACUCCACUGUGAGAAACGAGGCUGAGAUCAGGAAGGGCCUUUCAAAGCCCCAGAAGUCAACCACACAGCCCUCUCAGCCACAUCUUGAAGCAUUUUUACUAUCAAGAAGUAUCUGCAUGCAAAUUUCAGAAUCUGUCUGCCAGUUCUUUUUGCAAAGAGUGUUGGAACCGUGGCAUGAAAGGAAAUCCAGAGAGACAGGGUAAUGGGUGUGGACGAUUGCUAAUGGGACCCUCAAGUCCCUGGGCUGUCAGCCCUGUCUCCCUUAAGUACACGUUUGGAGUUCAAGUUCAUCGAGAUGGAGGUGUGUUCUGAUUUGUUGAUUUUGGGGUGGGAAAAAAGGGGAAAGAACAGAACAAAACCAAAUCUCUCAUCUCUUGGAGACUUUGUUGAAAAAAAAAUCAGUAUUUUAACCAUUCAUAUAUUCAAUGAGGGCAAGAGCUCAUUUUCAAACACUAGAUUGUGGAAAUGUUAUGAACAAUUUUCCUCAUAUGCUAAAAAUUAUUUCUUUGUGUUCUGCUGCUACACACAAUAUGUGUUUGGAAAGAAAGGGUGACACUGCUUGUGAACAGGAGGAUAUUUCUUUACAACUUCUGUUACUGGUUUUUGUUUUUCAGCAGUGUUUUCCUCCUCAAGAUGGAAUCUGUCAAGGUACAAAAUUAAACUGAAAACUGUGAUAGUAA